rnacentral:tRNA from 1 species
UCCCUAAUAGCUCAGUUGGUAAAGAAUCUGCGUGCGAUGCAGGAGACCCUGGUUUGAUUCCUGGCUUGGGAA